rnacentral:tRNA from 1 species
CCGUAGCUCAGCUGGAUAGAGUGUCAGAUUCCGAAUCUGAAGGUCGUGGGUUCGAAUCCCGCCGGGAC